ensembl:lncRNA
CCCACUGCUUAAAAUAACUGUGCUUAGCUUCAAAUCGCAUACACAUACUUCUUAUUAAUGGACCAAGAGAUAUGAUUUGGCUUGGUAGAUGUAACAUGUAAUGUUGCUUGGGUAUUACAUUGGCUUCAGAGAAAAGUUCUUUGAAAUGAUGCAGAUGUUGCUCAAUCAUGCGUCUGAGCCGUAAUACGGUUUCUAAAGAAAUAACAGGAGCAAGGACAAUUUGAACAAUCUCAAUUAACUUGAGAAUAAAUUUGACAUACUCGUUGUCCAUACCGUUCAAAAGAAAAGGUAGGAUUUUUAAAAGUAUCAACAUUUGUCCACAUGACUGCUUUAAUUUAUUGUCAUUAGCAGCAAGUACUGACACUAAUAGGACAUGGCUUAUCUCUUAUGUCUAGAGGUGAGUAAGGAAAAUUUAGAAUAGCUGAGUUAAUCUCAUCUAAUUCUAUCUGUCCUGACAGAAUCAGGUUUUUUAAUACAAGCUUUAUUUCCAUUGGUGCAACACCUUCAAAAAUUACAUGCAUUAUAUCCUGUGGUGUUUGUUUGAUCAGAUCAAAUGCUGGAACAUCAACUAGUCUGCUUCUUCUGUUAAUCCCAUAAGUGGUUUUGAGGGAUGCUUUCAAUGUUUCUGUGCUUGCCUUAUCUAUUUCAACACACUGCCUAAUGUGCUUUUCCAAAGUUCUUUCAGCAAACCUAUUCUCCUCAAAAAUACUUUGCAUAUCCUCAAAGGAGCAUUCACAAUGUCUACAUUUGCUAUAAGCAAAACCAACACCUUGUUUAAAUCCAGCAAUAUCAUGUUGGGCAAGUGUGUCUCCACAUAUGGCGAUCACAGCACCAAACAACUCAAUUUCACCAUUUGGGGUGUCAAUCCUAACACCAUUGUACAGAAGUGUCAGAUCUUUUUGGAUUCUUUUUAGUAUAACAUCAACACCCCACUGAGAAAUAUUGUUUGCCUUGGCAAUAGCCAGGAGUCUUAUUGCAGCCAACUUCGACCUAAAUUUUGGAUCUAUAUUCCCUAAACUAUAAUAAAACCUCAGUAAUUUAUUUGCAGAGGCAUGGGCGCCUAAAGGGUUACAUAUUUCAAUUUCAUCGGUGUACAAUAGUAUUUGCAAUGCAUUUGGCCUUUGAGAAUAUAAUGGAUGGGAUGUAAAAAGGGCUCCAUCAGUAAAAUCAUACAAGAAUCCCUCACUUCUUUGUGGUACAGUGGUUAAGUACAUGGUGAAGAUUCUGGGAUUGGUCAGUAACUGCUUAAGACUUUGAAUGAGUGGUACAUAGUAAAAACUUUUGCCUCUUAAGGCCAUGACCCUUGAAAGACCACGCUUUACCCAACAAAUCUUCUGGGACACCACAACUUCCUCUGGGUUGACUGGAUUGAAUAGUUCCCGGAUGGUUUUAUUCUGUCCAUAUGCUGUGGUUGAGAAAGGAUCCAUGAACGCAUCAAACGUAGCCAAAGCCUCCCCUUGGAGCUGAGCAGUUGUGUCUGGAUUCUCUUCAAACACCCUUCUGAUUCUCUCCCUUAGUGUGUCAAUGAGAGCAGCUUGGUACUGUUGCACCCCUGAGAUGACACUGUUGACAGUUCUCUGGGAAAAUAUUUAAAAUGUAAAUAAUUUUGUCACCCAUAUAAUUCACAGGCCCAUAUUUUACAUUAGAAUAAUUUAAAUUAAUUGUACCAUUAAAGCAUUUGCCCAUGAAGAUAAAUUUACCUGUGAUAACUGGCACUGUUCCCGGACACUGAUGGCGAAUGCCGCUGCGGAUCUAGCUAUAUCAGGUCUGGUUCUGGAGGUCACAGCAACAGCGUCUUCCUUUAUAAAAUGAGUUGUAAUUUUUUAAGAGCGAGUAGAUGGACACAGUCAAAGUUGCAAUUGAUUUGAAAGGAAAUGGACAUUUUUGAGGAGAUGCCCGAGAGGGGAAAGACUUCAUUUUAAUCCCGUAUUCGCAGCUCUAUCGUCUAAGGUAAGAGGAAUUAAAUGUUUUUUUUAAUGUUUAAUCUUAGCAUUCAAUGGAGAUAAUACCUAUGAAAGAGAAAGUGUGCAUAGGCUACUCAAAUCAUGCAUGAUUAACGCGCACACUCGCAGUGUGGAUUCAAUGAGGCCCAUAUUUAAAUAUAUCGUUAUAUGUAGGACAAAAAUAUUAAAUUACAUAACAAGUCAGCAUCACACAGAGAGCAACCUAAUUGGCACGAUAAGAUUGAAAAUAAAUUGAAUUGUGGAAACUUACGGACUCAAGGCGGCCGUCAGCUUCAGGCUGUGGUGACGGUUCAGGUAAAGAGGCAUCAGGUGGGACAGCCGUAGUGCUGGCCGCUGCAGGAGUGCUACAGCUGGAAAACACCGAAACACCAAAUGUUUCCUGUCCCAAAGACCGAGAAGAAGGCGUCGUACUCCAUCCGCUUGGUGGGCAUCCAGUCCUCAAAUACUGAAGUUCAUGUCCUCCAACGGUCCCACCUCAAUGACGUCAGUGUUCGCGGUUCACCGCUUGAGUAACUGAAAGAUUUGGGUGCGUUACAUUUGACGAAGAAGUGCAAGAAGAGCGGCUCAAUUUCUACGGUACCGCCUGUUAAUGCUUCAGGGAGCUGAUGAAUCUAAGAUGGAUACUUUUGACGAUGCCACUCUAUCGGUGUUGGAGGGUGCCAGUGUUGAUGAGGAGGCUUUGAAAGGCCUUAGCCGGGAUGACCUGAGGGAUCUUUUUCCUGGCCCAGAGAAUUUCCUCAAAAGAAAGAAACUUUGGAAUUUCAUCAGUGAAAAUUGUGAAAAUACCACGGACCAAGAUGCCAACAAUUGUGCCAUGCCACCAUGCCAGCCUCAAACCUCAACCCCCAUAUCUGCUGAGAAAAAAAUGAAAAUGCCAGACCCUCCAGAGUAUGUGGUGUACACAGAUUCAGAGUUAGACAUGGUGCGUAGUCAAUACUUUGCACUGCUCUGCAAUGGAAAGGAAAAAAAUUACAAACUGUCCAAGGAGCUAUGUUGCAGACUUGUAAGGAACACAAUAACCAGUAUGGUUGCUAUCCUGCGUGCUAGUCCCAUGGGGAAAGAAGUCAGUUACCCGUCAAAAUUGGAAAUAAGAGCCAUGUCACAGAAGAUUAUAGACUAUUACCCAAUGUUACGGGAUGAUGAUCCAAACAUGCCUUAUCUGACUAUCUACACCAAAAUGUACAAGCGACUCCAAAAUAUGAGAUCCCCACGGAAGAGGCAAGGCUCUGUACCACAAAGAGGAGUGGCAAAGACAGCUCUCUUCAGUGCAGACAACCAAGACAUGGAGACGGAUUGGACAGACACAAGCAACUCAAGUGAUAAUACCUUACUUCUUGAGAGCAAUGAUGACCUUACCGAGGACAACUCCAGUGAAGCAUUCCCAGCACAUCGACCCCCCUCUGUGCCAAGGAAGCCAAAGACCAAAACCUUCCUGCUGCCAUCCGCAUCAGCCUCAGGCUCCUCACUCAGGACUGUGAUCGCUUCACCAACCACGCCUGCAAAGGAUGAUGUUGUCGGCCAGGACAGUCUGAAAAUGCAGGCUAGGCACUACAAAACCUUGAGCAACAUGUACAAUAAGCCAAAUGCAAAACCCAAUCAAAGUGAUGUUGCUCAAGUUUUAGACCUUGAGUUUAAGGCCAGACGGGCUUUCAUUGAUGCAGAUGUUACAAGGGAAGAAGACCGACCUGCAAAAAUCUUUGAGGCAUAUCCAUGCUUUAGAGAUGUUCGAAAUGCAAUGGAUGAGCUGCGGUGCAUAGUAGGUGGCACCAACAGCAGAUACAUCGAGGAAGUGAAAGGAAGAUGGGCAGACUUUUGUGCCAAGGUGCAGUUCUAUGGUGUGUGGAAGAAAGCCCUGAAACCCCCCUUUCCAUUGGAUGUCCGUGGAGUGGAGUUCACGCUUGCCCUCUUCAAUGCACUCCCAUCCCUUUUCCCCUCACCAACUUCACCACCAAAGAAGCUUGGAAAUAGCUGUGAGGCACUUCUUCAUGUCCUGAAGUCAGGCGAAGACCCUGCCCUGUACCUGGAAAAGCAUCCUCUCUCCUCCCCAGUUCUGCUUUCUGAUGGCUCAACCACCAUUGUGGCUGUGGGUAAUGUACCUGUGACCACCCUCCCUCAGGAAGAUUUCUCAGACGGGAUGUUGGUGUUAAUGGCAUAUUACUACACUUUGCACUUAAGAUAUCCAAAAUGUGUUGCAACGCUCCUGUCAGUUAUUCAAACAGAGGUAAUUGGUGACACAAUCCACGAUCAAGAUGCCACUAGUGCUUACAGGAAAGCAAUGGCUGAUUGGAAGUCUUUCAUUGAGAAGUAGCUGAGUAUUUUGUCAUGCCAGUUCUUAUUGUUAGCUGUGCCUAAUAAUAGUUUUGUGUUGCACAAGCUUAUACAGUCACUGAGUUAUUACCUCAUUUAGGCCUGUAUUUAAAAUGAUAGUUAAGGAAAAAUCCAUAACUGAGGGCUGAGAAGUGUUUUUGUUUUUUGCCCUUUUGCUUUUAAUUUCUUUUAUUUUUAUGGAAAAGUAUUCAAAUGUCUAUAGCAAACUUGACUUGCUGAUGUUAAAUAAAUGUUGUCUUAAGCCAUGUUAUUUCUGCACCAUUAUUCUAAAAAAGGACAGGCUUUAGAUUUUAAGAUGCUCAAAGUAAGAAAACAAAAUGGGUAAUUGCUUAUAUUUAGUAUAUUUCACUUAUUUUGAGGCUGUAAAAGUUUAAAUUUAAGUAAUCUAGUCUUAAAAACAGCAUUUUAUGCUUAUAUUUAGUAUAUUUCACUUAUUCUGAGG